ACAAUAAAAACCUUGUCUUGCAUACUGUUCAUACAGAUCAAAGUCAUUACACAGGGUAUUGAGGUAAAACAAUAACAAAAUAUAACAGCAACAGAGAAUGUGCAGUGCAGGUAAAUUAUAAGGUUCUAAGUGAAUUUAUUAUCGAAGUAUGUAUUUGUCACCAUAUACAAACCUGCGAUUAAUUUUCUUGCUUGCAUUCACAGUAGAACAGAGACACUACAAUCAAUGAAAUACCACACACGAGAUACAUAAACAAUCAAUUUGCUUAAGACAAGCUGUCCAAUUACAAAAAACCCACAAUAAAUAAAUAAAUAAAAUUGAGAACGAGUUGUGCUGUAGUGUCUUGAAAGUGAGUCCUCGAAAGUGAAAGUGAUAAAAUGCUAAAUGGUAACGAGGUACAUUGUGAGUUCAAAAGUCCAUCUUAUUGGACAAGAGGUCUGUCAAGAGCCUUUUGAAGGUGGAAUAGAAGCUUCCCUUAAGUCUGUUUAGUAUUGGAGAGUGAAGACCUUACCAAAGUACGGGAACCUGGAGGAUUGAGUAAAGUUGGUGUUGUUUGGCAGUUUCAUAAAGGAUCUACCUUAUUGAAUCUUCAUUCAGGAAUAGUGGCCUGCAUCUGAGAUAGCCCCUGCAAGAUCAGGAAGGUUUGUGCGGUGUCCACCAUCCAGGAAAAAGUUGGUAUUUUAGCCUUGAAGACAGAGGUCAUGGCAUCCAGGGAAGUCUUGGACGUACCAUCUAUAUCAACAUUUCAGUGCAGUUCUGAGGGAGUGAUGCACUGCGGGAAAUUGGGUGGGAUAUUAAACAAGCUCCAUAUGCUGGAAGAGAUGGAGGCCAAAAUAUUACAAAAGUAGAGGAAGGCAGCCCUUCCACUGGAAUAGAAACAUCUGAGAAAAGUGUGUAUUUUUAUAUCAAAACAAAUACUCAAUAAAAUUUUACAAGAAAAAUUGAGCAAUGCCUUUUCAUUCUUAUAUUCACAGUCAAUGUGUGAAGUUGAGUUCUAAUAUAUUCAUUAA